CAGAGAGGUACAGAUGUAGCAGGGUUAACACACAAACUCAAAUUUCUUAACUCAUCGCGUUAUCUUGAAACAAAAGCCAUUGAAAAGCAAUUGAAGGUUAACGCAGUUAGUUUAGAUAACAGGUCUGAUGAUGCAUGUGUGU